rfam:Chelonia mydas contig212017, whole genome shotgun sequence.
UUGGGCUAUGGUGACAUGUACCCCAAGACCUGGUCGGGCAUGCUGGUGGGGGCGCUGUGUGCCCUGGCCGGGGUACUCACCAUCGCCAUGCCGGUGCCUGUCAUCGUCAACAAC